GAUGAACGCUGGCGGCGUGCCUAAUACAUGCAAGUCGAGCGAACAGACGAGGAGCUUGCUCCUCUGACGUUAGCGGCGGACGGGUGAGUAACACGUGGAUAACCUACCUAUAAGACUGGUAUAACUUCGGGAAACCGGAGCUAAUCCCGGAUAAUAUAUUGAACCACAUGGUUCAAUAGUGAAAGACGGUGUUGCUGUCACUUCUAGAUGGAUACGGGCCGCAUUAGCUAGUUGGUAAGGUAAAGGCUUACCACGGCGACGAUGCGUAGCCGACCUGUGAGGGGGAUCGGCCACACUGGAGCUGAGCCACGGUCCAGACGCCUACGGGAGGCAGCAGUAGGGAAUCUUCCGCAAUGGGCGAAAGCCUGACGGAGCAACGCCGCGUGAGUGAUGAAGGUCUUCGGAUCGUAAAACUCUGUUAUUAGGGAAGAACAAAUGUGUAAUUAACUAUGCACGUCGUGACGGUACCUAAUCAGAAAGCCACGGCUAACUACGUG
rnacentral:rRNA from 1 species